rnacentral:rRNA from 1 species
UCAGCGGCGGACGGGUGAGUAAUGCCUAGGAAUCUGCCUGGUAGUGGGGGACAACGUUUCGAAAGGAACGCUAAUACCGCAUACGUCCUACGGGAGAAAGCAGGGGACCUUCGGGCCUUGCGCUAUCAGAUGAGCCUAGGUCGGAUUAGCUAGUUGGUGAGGUAAAGGCUCACCAAGGCGACGAUCCGUAACUGGUCUGAGAGGAUGAUCAGUCACACUGGAACUGAGACACGGUCCAGACUCCUACGGGAGGCAGCAGUGGGGAAUAUUGGACAAUGGGCGAAAGCCUGAUCCAGCCAUGCCGCGUGUGUGAAGAAGGUCUUCGGAUUGUAAAGCACUUUAAGUUGGGAGGAAGGGCAGUAAGUUAAUACCUUGCUGUUUUGACGUUACCGACAGAAUAAGCACCGGCUAACUUCGUGCCAGCAGCCGCGGUAAUACGAAGGGUGCAAGCGUUAAUCGGAAUUACUGGGCGUAAAGCGCGCGUAGGUGGUUCGUUAAGUUGGAUGUGAAAGCCCCGGGCUCAACCUGGGAACUGCAUC